GACGAACGCUGGCGGCGUGCUUAACACAUGCAAGUCGAACGAAGUGGCGAACGGGUGAGUAAUACGUGAGUAACCUGCCCUCCUUUUUGGGAUAAGCCUUGGAAACGGGGUCUAAUACCGCAUACAGGGGGAUGGGCUCGCGGCCUGUUAGCUUGUUGGUGGGGUGAUGGCCUACCAAGGCGGUGACGGGUAGCCGGCCUGAGAGGGUGACCGGCCACAUUGAGACUGAGAUACGGCCCAGGCGCCUACGGGGGGCGGCAGUGGGGGAUAUUGCACAAAGGGCGAAAGCGUGAUGCAGUGACGCCGCGGGGGGGAUGAAGGCUUUCGGGUUGUAAACCUCUUUCGCUAUCGAAGGGGUAGGUGGAGAAGAAGCGCCGGCUAACUACGUGCCAGCAGCCGCGGUAAUAC
rnacentral:rRNA from 1 species